AGGACGAACGCUGGCGGCGUGCUUAACACAUGCAAGUCGAGCGGUAAGGCCCUUUCGGGGGUACACGAGCGGCGAACGGGUGAGUAACACGUGAGUAAUCUGCCCCUCUCUUUGGGAUAAGCCUCGGAAACGGGGUCUAAUACCGGAUACGACACUCUCACGCAUGUGAUGGGUGUGGAAAGUUUUUCGGUGGGGGAUGUGCUCGCGGCCUAUCAGCUUGUUGGUGGGGUAAUGGCCUACCAAGGCUUCGACGGGUAGCCGGCCUGAGAGGGUGACCGGCCACACUGGGACUGAGACACGGCCCAGACUCCUACGGGAGGCAGCAGUGGGGAAUUUUGGACAAUGGGCGAAAGCCUGAUCCAGCAAUGCCGCGUGUAGGAGAAGGCCUUCGGGUUGUAACUACUUUGUACGGAACGAACGGUCUUUUGAAUACGAAAGGCUAAUGACGGUACCGUAAGAAUAAGCACCGGCUAACUACGCGCCAGCAGCCGC
rnacentral:rRNA from 1 species